rnacentral:lncRNA from 1 species
GUAGCGAAAUCGAUACAAAACAAAACAGAAACCAGAAAGGAGAAGAAAAGCCUCCAUCCUGCGGGAGGGCUUGAUGUAAACAUCUCACUGAAGGACAUGCAAGAGGGUGCUCCAAUCACUCAGUGAAGAGCAUGUCAGAUUAUCACUGGGUUUGGUGCCUGCAGAAAGGAAGACAGCUUAAGUGCUACACGGUUUUUUUGUCUUAGGGUCACAGAUGACAACAUCACAAUCAAUUCUGCUCCUGUCAUUGGACAACACAGAGAGAUGGCCGAAUGACUAGCCCUGAGGCCUUCACUGUGGCAGAAACAUGACUGAGGAGUACCGUGCUAUGCCCAGAGAGCCUGAGAGAAGUGCUGUUUCUCAGAUCUUAGCCUGGUUUGAAUCCCCCUGGAGCUCUCACUAUUGCAAACAUUUAUUGCCGCUGCCUUGUUCCCGAGUACUGCAUCCGAACCACCUCUGACUCUAUGGCAAUGGAUGUUCACUGAGUGAUUGGAGCACCCUCUUGCAUGUCCUUCCUGAGUGUAUUAAAGGAUA